rnacentral:rRNA from 1 species
CCUACGGGAGGCAGCAGUGGGGAAUAUUGCACAAUGGGGGAAACACUGAUGCAGCGACGCCGCGUGAGGGAAGAAGUAAUUCGUUACGUAAAGCUCUAUCAGCAGGGAAGAAACACUGACCUUACGGUCAGCAGACGGUACCUGAGUAAGAAGCCCCGGGUAACUACGUGCCAGCAGCCGCGGUAAUACGUAGGGGGCAAGAGUUAUCCGGGUUUACUGGGGGUAAAGGGGGCGUAGACGGUGCGGCACGUCUGGAGUGAAAAGCCGCAGCUUAACCGCGGAACUGCUGUGGAAGCUGGCGAACUAGAGUUCGGGAGGGGUAAGCGGAAUUCCUGGUGUAGCGGUGAAAUGCGUAGAUAUUAGGAGGAACUCCGGUGGCGAAGGCAGCUUGCUGGACCGUCACUGACGUUGAGGCUCGAAAGCGUGGGGAGCAAACAGGAUUAGAUACCCCUGUAGUC